rnacentral:lncRNA from 1 species
AGAGGGAGAAAGGGUGGGGAAGAAGAAAGAAGAAAAAGACAAGAAGGGAGAAUGGAAUGAAAGACAAAAGAAAAUCUAGCAGAGGGAAUGAGGGCAAACCAUGGAAGACAGAGGAAGGAACAAGAUGGAAUGGAGGAGAAGAGUGAGAAAAAAGACUGGAAGGUGGAGAAGAGAGAAAGAUUGGAAACAAGAAACACCUGAAGAGGAGUGAUAGCAAGGGUGGAGAAAGGCAGGAGAUGAGGAAAAGAGGGACAAUCAAAAGAAGGAGUUGGUGAGGCAGAUGAGUGGAAGGGAGGAGAAGAAGAAUGGAAAAGAGGAGACCAAUCAAAAGAAAGGAGGUUGGGUUGGGCAGGGAUGAGUGGAAGGGAGAGAAGAAUGGAAAAGAGGACAACAAUCGAAGAAAAGGAGGUUGGAAUGAGGGCAGGGAUGAGUGGAAGGGAGAGAAGAAUGGAAAAGAGGACAACAAUCGAAGAAAGGAGGUUGGAAUGAGGGCUGGGAUGAGUGUGGAAGGAGGAGAAUGGAAAAAGAGGAAAAAAUCAAGAAAAGGGUUGGAAUGAGGGCCGGGAUGAGUGGAAGGGAGGGAGUGGAAGAACGACAAGGAUGACUAUAAGGACCUUGGCAAAGGAGGAGGAAGGAGAGAGGAGAGAAAAGGGAGUGGAAGGGAGAGAGAAAGAUUGGACAAAGAAAAGACAGAAAGAAAGACGUCAGUAAAGAGUGGAAGAGUAGGACAACAGGAGAGAAAAUGAU